GCGGGUAUAGCUCAUUUGGUAGAGCGCGACCUUGCCAAGGUCGAGGUAACCGGUUCGAGCCCGGUUACCCGCUCCA
rnacentral:tRNA from 1 species